ensembl:lncRNA
AUCCUGGGGAUAUCAAGGGGCGUUCCAGUUAUUUUUGCUUUCGGUGUUUCCCAAGUAGACGUUUUCUUUAGACACAUAAUUGAUUUAACCGCUCAGCCCCUCCCCUCAUCUCUUAUUCAGCCUCAAAUCCCCCUGCGGAAUUCACUGAGCCUUUCUUUCGCCAAAGAGAUGUAAUUUGCUUCCUUUGUGGAUUCACAGGCUUAACCCCGCUGUUUCAAAGGAGGUUUUGAGAUUCGAGCUCCAUCAACCUAUUAUGUAACACUUUAAUUUGCACAAUAAAAUAAAGGAUAGAAACUUCGGUUACCG